GUUGAACGCUGGCGGCAGGCUUAACACAUGCAAGUCGAGCGGAGCGAGGGUGCUUGCACCUUAGCUUAGCGGCGGACGGGUGAGUAAUGCUUAGGAAUCUGCCUAUUAGUGGGGGACAACAUUCCGAAAGGGAUGCUAAUACCGCAUACGCCCUACGGGGGAAAGCAGGGGAUCUUCGGACCUUGCGCUAAUAGAUAAGCCUAAGUAGGAUUAGCUAGUUGGUGGGGUAAAGGCCUACCAAGGCGACGAUCUGUAGCGGGUCUGAGAGGAUGAUCCGCCACACUGGGACUGAGACACGGCCCAGACUCCUACGGGAGGCAGCAGUGGGGAAUAUUGGACAAUGGGCGGAAGCCUGAUCCAGCCAUGCCGCGUGUGUGAAGAAGGCCUUUUGGUUGUAAAGCACUUUAAGCGAGGAGGAGGCUACUAGUAUUAAUACUACUGGAUAGUGGACGUUACUCGCAGAAUAAGCACCGGCUAACUCUGUGCCAGCCGCCGCCGUAA
rnacentral:rRNA from 1 species